rnacentral:misc_RNA from 1 species
GAAAUGCAAUAAGUAAUGUGAAUUGCAGAAUUCAGUGAAUCAUCGAAUCUUUGAACGCACAUUGCGCCCGCCAGUAUUCUGGCGGGCAUGCCUGUUCGAGCGUCAUUUCAACCAUCAAGCCCCCGGGCUUGUGUUGGGGACCUGCGGCUGCCGCAGGCCCCGAAAACCAGUGGCGGGCUCGCUGUCACACCGGGCGUAGUAGAUUUUUCGUCUCGCCCAGGGCGUGCUGCGGGUUCCGGCCGUUAAAAAGCCUCUCUUUUAACCCAAGGUUGACCUCGGAUCAGGUAGGAAGACCCGCUGAACUUAAGC